GUUUUGGUAGUCUAACUAUUUAAGAUAUCGGUCUUGUAAACCGAAGAUCGGAGGUGAGAUUCCUCUCCAAAACA
rnacentral:tRNA from 1 species